UAUUCGUUAUGGUAAUUUAAUACACUCGUUUUUUUUCUCUUUUUUUUUUCAGAAAGAUCUUCUAUGCCUGAAACCAAUGCUUCCAUCCUGGUUGAACGUCACAGACCGACAACUGAAAUCUGCUGAGAGCCUUCAGCAGGCAGCUCAGAGCAUGGAGCAUGAUCUGAGCAUGGGUCUGUCCCUUUGGGCUGUCGCGGCCAUCGUUUGUAACUCCGUGGUGGGUGUCCUCAUCAUCAUCCUCUUUGUCAUACUCUACAAAGCCUGCAAGGUGCCUUCACACCAAGAAAAGUUGCUGUUUUUUGCAGCACGACUGGAGCAGAAGGAGACGGAGCAGAAGUGCAUGCUCACUGCAGCCUGAUUGGGAUUCCCUGAUAGGAUAAUUGGAUCCAUAACUCAAACCCCUCGUACAUUUCUUUUUUAAUUUUUUCUUUUUUGCUCUCUGUUCUGCUUUGUGCUACACGCUGUUUACCGUUCUCCACUGUCUCUUCUGUGCCCAUUCAGUGGAGCUCAGAAUGAGCUAACCGCAUGAAGAUUUGUGGUUGGACCAACGACAACAACAACAACAGGCAGGCCCAAUCCUCUUAUCUGUGCUGCGCGUCUCUGGGACCGUCCAUCUGUCAUUCAGAUUGGCUCGCUCGGCACAUGCAGACUAUGAUCUCCUCUUCUGCUCCAUUCUUUCCCAGCCCUCUGUGUGAGACAGUGGAGAGGGCGUGGAGGAGAAGCAGCACAAUGAAGUGGAAUAGACAGGUUAGGGUUUACAAGUGCUGCACUAAUGAUGACAGCAGACACACAAAAGGUACGACGGCCUUAAAGAGGAAUAAGGGGGAACAGAGAUGUUGCUGGAGGACGCGUCUGAGUGGAGACAGACGGAGAUAAAGUUUGGGUUUAUAUUUUCGGGUGGUGGAGGAUUGAGAAAGUGCAGGGGAAGAAUUAGAAACGGGACGCUUUGAUGUUUUGUUGACAGAAGGUAGAGCUCGAGGGCCCUGUUUGACAGUCUCCACAUUUAAUACACACAGGUUUCUGCUCGCGCUGAUCCAACUCCCACGGGAUUAAAAGCAACAGCUAAAGUGUAGCUGCAACAGUGUUUGGGUUGUUCUGCUGUGCCUCGCUUUCAUUCCUUCAGCUUCCAGAAAGACAGAGUGAGAUAUUUACAGACAGGCGUGAUCAAAACUAUAAGACAGAACCUUCAGGGUUUCAAGUGUUACACAAAGUUAUCCACAUGCAGUUGUGUUUGUGUAUAUAUGUGUAUAUACAUGUGUUUAAAAGUAAAUCAGAUGCUAUUCUGAUAAACAAUA